CCCGAUUCUCCCCACCUCCCUAAGACUGUAAGAGCCAGAGCCAGCAAGUGAUUCUAAGGAAACAGCCUCUCCAGACACAACAGGCCUGAUAGACAUAGAAACCACAGAGACCGUGACAGCGUGAACAAGUCCAAACCAGACCAAGUCCUAGUACCGAGAAGGGGAGGUGGACACCAAAUCCUACCCUCUCCAAGAAGGAAUUUGCAAUUGAUUCCUGCUGGGAGAGGAACAACCAGUUUUCUUCAGUGGAGUGUCACUGGGUAUAUUGACCAGCGCAGGCUUCACAAUAUGUUUCUCUCUCUCUCUCUCUCUCUCUCUCUCUCUCUCUCUCUCUCUCUCUCUCUCUCUCUCCCUUGUCUGUCUUUCUCCUAGGAGCUGUAGAGUAAAGUAAUUUAUCCAGAAAGAAGGGGGCAUUGGGAGUUUUUACUCUUCUCGAAACUGCACUGUGGUAUGAAUAGACGUAGCAGCCAAUAGGCAUGGGAGGUGAGAUGGAUGAGCUGUUCGAGCCCACAAAAGCCAUUGUGGGUCAUGGGACUCAGUUGUCCUCAUGUGGCUUGUUGCUGUGGUGCGGAAUCUGAACACUUGCUCACCAGCAAGACAAUGGAGGAGGCAGUAGAACCAUUAAGAGAUCAGCCAGACAACUGCUCAGUAUCCCAGAGGGAUUUUCACACUUGCUAUAUGGGGAUAUAUAAAAGGACCAUCAUAAUAAUGUAACACUCAGCUGCCUCGGGACUUAGAAGAGCUGAAAAAGGACCCCAUGGGAGCAGAAGGAGCUGUGAGGUAAUUGUUGUUCUACAUAAGCCCAUUGAGGGAAGACUCAUGGUGAAGUCUAUCAAAGAGAUCAACACCUCACAUCCCUCCUGCCAUCCAACUCAUGCUACCGUCCUAUUGCUUCUGUUACAGAACGCAACCCACUUGGUGGCUUUAAACAGCUCAACUAUAAUGUCUUAUGAUCUAGAUUCAG
rnacentral:lncRNA from 1 species